GAUGAACGCUAGCGGCAGGCCUAAUACAUGCAAGUCGAACGAUAGAAGAGGGCUUGCUCUCUUCGAAAGUGGCGCACGGGUGCGUAACGCGUAUGCAACCUACCUUAAUCAGGGGGAUAGCCCGAAGAAAUUCGGAUUAACACCGCAUAAAAUCACAGUACAGCAUUGUACAAUGAUCAAAUAUUUAUAGGAUUAAGAUGGGCAUGCGUGACAUUAGCUAGUUGGCGGGGUAACGGCCCACCAAGGCGACGAUGUCUAGGGGAUCUGAGAGGAUGACCCCCCACACUGGUACUGAGACACGGACCAGACUCCUACGGGAGGCAGCAGUAAGGAAUAUUGGUCAAUGGAGGCAACUCUGAACCAGCCAUGCCGCGUGCAGGAAGACUGCCCUCUGGGUCGUAAACUGCUUUUAUUCGGGAAUAAACCUACUUACGUGUAAGUAGCUGAAUGUACCGAAGGAAUAAGGAUCGGCUAACUCCGUGCCAGCAGCCGCGGUAA
rnacentral:rRNA from 1 species